rnacentral:misc_RNA from 1 species
UCAAACUUGGUCAUUUAGAGGAAGUAAAAGUCGUAACAAGGUUUCCGUAGGUGAACCUGCGGAAGGAUCAUUAUCGGCUACAGGGAGCCCUUCCGGCUCCGGAGCGUACACCUCUGACCCGCGCGUUCCCUCCCUCCCUCCCAUCCUCCGGGACGGUGAUGGUGACGGGGACGCGUAGAAGUUACGGUUAACCGUGUUCACCUCUCGCCCCGUGUGAAACCUCAACCUCUUGCUUCGGCAGCACCGAGCGGGUGACCGCGAGGGUAAGGCUGCCGAAAGCCCAUAACCAAAACCUUACCGAUGAAAUGUCAUGCUGUCUGACCAAUCUUUUAUUUGAGAAAUCAAGUAAUAUCGUUAAAACUUUCAGCAACGGAUCUCUUGGUUCCCGCAUCGAUGAAGAACGCAGC